rnacentral:tRNA from 1 species
UUAGUUGAAGCCAAAACAGAGGCAUCCCAUUGUUAAUGGGAACAAUGAUUAUAUAUCCGACUAAA